GAGCACGUAGGUGGGUUUGUAUGUCAGGGGUGAAAGCCCCCGGCCCAACCGGGGAACGGCCUUUGAAACUGCGGACCUUGAGUGGAGCAGAGGGGAGUGGAACUCUCGGUGGAGCGGUGAACUGCGUUGAUAUCGAGGGGAACACCAGCGGCGAAGGCGACUCCCUAUGCUUCUACUGACGCUGAGGUGCGAAAGCCAGGGGAGCGAACGGGAUUAGAUACCCCGGUAGUCCUGGCCCUAAACGGUGGGCACUAAGUAGAGGGG
rnacentral:rRNA from 1 species